UUAGAGACACCCUGCUCAUCAUCAUUAAUGUGCUCUGAUUUACAUUCAGGCUCUUCCUAUCCUGAAUAUGUUCCCAACAUCAAUCUGUCUGUACAGUCUUGAAAAAAGAAUUUAAGUUACCAAGUUAGUGCAUACAUUAGCUUUCUCUUACUGGAAGCAGACACUUAAAAAGAGGAACUUUUGCUGCUUUGCUUCUGGUUCUGUGCCAAGGCAACAGGGCAUGAUGGGAACAGGUUAAAGAGCAAAUCUUCUCAACUCCUGGCUGCCAGGAAGCCAGUGAGAGGAAGAGGCCAGGGAAAAGGUCCUGCUGAGCCUUGAAGGGCACAGCCCCAAUGACCUCAUUCCCUCCUGGUAGGUCCCACCUCCCACAGGAUCCACCACUACAUACUAUGGCUAUGCCACAGAGAAACUCCUGUAUCAUGUGGACUUUUGGUAUAUCAUCUAAGUUCUCCGAUUCCUAGCUGGGGUGAAUGGCACAUCUAUGUAAUAUCAUCCCUCAGGAGGGUGAGGAUGGACAGAUGUGAGAAGUUUGAGGACAGCCUGAGAUACAUAGUGAUUGUGGCCUCAAACUCUCAGCCAUCCUCCUGCCUCAGCUUCUUGAGUGCUACUAUUACAUCAUGGGCCAGGACACUAGGCCUCUUUUAACUUGUUUGAGGAAAGUCCUAGGGCCCUGGGAAGAGAGGCCAAAGAUCCCUGAAGGCAGAAUUCUGCAUGAUGAAGUCUAUGCCUUGUGUGGGUUGCUGGAAGACAUGUCCAGGGAUGAAAGUACCAAGUAACCUUCACACAGAGCCUAAAGAACAGACAGCCUUAACAUCAACAGAUACCAGAAAUGGAUUAAAGCAAAAUUUAGAAUCCCAGUGUGGAAUUCACCCGAAUGUCCCAUUAUGAAUAAAUGGCUAUGACAACAUCUGUCAUCUAUCUACACAGUAGACAGUUAUACCUUCCUCAGAAAGGACGGCACUCUGACAUCCUGCACUCUCAAGGGACCCUGAGGACAUUGUGCUAAGAGGAAGAAGGCAGACACCAAAGACACACGUGGUCUGAGUCCACAGGACUGCUAGGCAUACAAGGAUCCCAGCGCUGUCCAUUCAUAGGGACAAUGGGAGAACACUGCUUCCCAGAGGCUGUGAGAAGAGACUGGGCAUCCAUGGUUUCAUGGGGUAGAGUUUCUCUUCAGGUGGAGGAAACAAUUCCAUAGAUGCAUAGAGGGCUGGCUGUACAACAGAAGCAAUAGACAUUCACGUGCUACAUAUUAUAUUUUGGCCAGUGAUGGACCACAGAGACAUAGUGCUUAUAUGAGAUGGUUUCACCUCCUGCCCUGCUAGUUCUUAGAGCUGGGUGAGUUCAUUCUACCAGGUUGGCACAAUGACAGUUUCAAUGGAUUGCCCCUUUCCCAGAACACAUUCCCAUCAUUAUUUCCAUACCGGGGAAGGGAAUAGGAAAAGACAGGAUGUGGGACAAGGAGAGCCCCAUCAGUCAAAAAUCUGUGGGGCUGGUAGGAAGGAGGGGUUAGAACAUGUGUUCCCAGGAUGCACAGGGGAAGCAGAGACUCAAGUAGAGCUGCCUUUCACACACCUGUGACAAUGUGUCUACAACAGGUGGAGUUUGGAAGGAAGGGAACAAUGGACCCUGCAAGGAGAACUGAAAGCAGAUGGAGAACAGCAAAGGUCUGUUGAUGGCAUCCAACUUCUGUCCUUAGGCCUCUGGCCGGAAAAGGAAGAGAGGCUGUGGGAGUCAGAAGAUGAGUGGCAGAUGGACCUGCUGGGUCUUUUUGAUCCAGUCCCUCGAUUAGCACUCUACUUCCUGCCUCUGGCCAGAAGAAGCAGAAAGACUGGUCCAUAGAAGUGGAGAACUAUGAGGAGGAGGACAUGUCUGGGUUUUUUUACUUAGCCUAUACGGUAAACCCCCAGCUCUCACCUCAGUCCCCUGGCCAAAAAAAGAAAGUGGGAAUGAUUAUUUGGGUCUAGGAAGAAAUCACAGGAGGCACUGGGCAACCUGGUCUGGGCCCUCAGUGCAUAGGGCUCAUGGAGUUCCCAUAUGGACUCCAAAUGACCCUGAGAGGAAGCAUCUAUGGUCAGUGCUGCUUGAGCACCACCAGGAACCAGGCUGUUAGGUAAGCAGACCUCAGACUGCACCUCCAACAAGGUUCUUUAAGAACAGAAGAAAAGUGCAAUUACUUCCUUUUCCCAUCAAAGGGAGGUCACUGUGAGGCAGGAGCUCUCCUUCCCAGAGGACUCUGGCCCCAUCCAUCCUCAGGGACAUGGAAAUGACACAACUUACACAUGUGUUAAAAUGUUCCCCCAUUGUGAUCAGAAAGCCUGGUUACAGCACCUUCCUGUUCAACAGAACUCUUGCUGACUCUUCUCAGUGCAAAUGGUUUCAGCCCUAAAUGUGUGACCGGGACACCUUCAUUCCCAAAUGUGUAUCUCAGAGGAGAAAAGAACCCUCAUGCUUUCUGAGUUUGAAAGUGAUAUAUUCAUAUGUCAUGAGGCCACCAUGGUAUGUUCAAAGCUCCUAAUAAUGCAGGUAUUUGCUGCUACCCAGCCUCUAACUCAGUAGUUCCUCCAGGAUUCUGAGGGUUGAGCCCAUGUCCCCUGUCAAGUGAAUGUCCUCCUCCACCCUCUGCUCAUUUGUCUGCCCUCGGCCUCAUGCUGAACCUUUUGCCAGGCAGGCCCAGUUAUACUCCUCGUCUGCUUGCCCCAUGAGAAACCCUGUGCCAGUCCCCAAGGUGAUGCUCUGUUCUCUUCACACAGCAGACUGUGUUCAAGAGAUGCCUGGCCUGGUGCAAGAACCUCAGGUAACUAACAGAUUGAGCUCCUUUUCCCUUGAGCCAGGCUCUCACUAUGGCACGGCUUAGGGAGGAGAGAGGUCCUACCCCACAGUCCUUCUUCCAUGGCUGUCUUUGUGGGAAGCUCCCACAUGACAUUCCCCCAACUAUUCCCCCUUAGUUCUGGGGACCAUCUGCCUUCAGCUCCUGGGUUUUUUCUGGCAGGCUGGAUGUGUGCACCUUCCUCAGCCCGGGGCCUCUGGUAUCUGAAUGCAGGCCACCGUCUUCCCCAGACAUAGCUUCUCUGGGUGUUGGCAUCUUUAGUCCCUGACCCCUCUCCUAAUUCUCAAGAGCCCCUUUGCUAUAGCUUAGAAGACCCCCUUCUGAUCCUUGGAAGGGCCAUCCUAGGCAUCACAGCCUCCCUUUUCCUGACUGCUCUCAUCUGCAGACAACCUCCAGCCCCUUGACUUUCCAUGAAUAGCCAGGUGAUCCAACCCUGGGGUUCCACUCUGAGUGGAGCCCUGCCCCACCCCAGUCCCUGUCUGCACAUCCCUCUUCCAGGUGUGGCCACUCUCUGUGGUCCUCUCUCCCCAUCACUGCCUCAUCAGUGCUAAUUCAAAUAGUCAUCACUGACUAUUUCAACUGGGCAGGCCUCUUCCUCUGGCAGUACCAGAGGUUCCAAUGCUUCCUGGCUCCUUGAGUACUCUGCCUCCUCCCCACAGUCCACAGGAGAGUGGGGAGAAUGAGACUCAGUGUAUCUUCUUGGGGAGAGGGAGUCAGCAAAACCCCUUGCUUCCCUGAUUUUUUUUGUACUGGGGAUCAUAAUCAGGAGCUUCUGUUUGCAAGGCAGGUAGAGUGGCACUGAGCUAAAUCCUCAGCCCUCUAAUGUGUCUUCUGGUUUGAAACCUCUUUAUACAGUUGAGUCUGUAUAGAAAAAGAUAGCCUGGAAGGACUGUGCCUAAUACUUUUCUUAGAAAAACUAGCAAGGUUUGUCAAUGUUGAAAAUCAUCUUACCUGUGUAAAAAGUACAAAGGGAGCAAAUUUCCAGGGAAAUAUAAAAGCAACAUCAGCAAGCCACAGGGCAGUGUAACGUUUUUCAUAAUUGUUGGAGAUCCUUAGGAGAGAUAAAUGGGGUCAGUGAGUUUUGCUAUGAAGACACACACUAGCUAAAAAACAAAAAAGACUGCCUGCAAAAUGGCAAAACCUUAAAGAUCCCCUUACCUUUGAUAUAAGACAACAAAAUACAAUUCAUUUUGAAAUCAAUUUAACCAAAAAAAUUCUAAAUGCUCCAGCCAUAGAAUUUCCUAGCUAAAAGCAAUCAAAGUUACCAUUUUAGAAAUAAUGAUAUAUAAUUGAUUAUUAAAUAAAAUAUUUUAAAUAUAAAAGCCUAUAUCUCUGUAAAUAAGAUUGGCAUUCAAAAUUAAAUACUCCAGCAGAAGGCCAGAAAAUAGAACAGGACAACUGCCCUUUAUGCCUCCAGGUGUUUAUUCCCUAUACCUAGCUACAGGUUAUAAAUAUCACUGCUUUUAUGUUUCAGAAAAUAGUGAGGGACAGAAUAAGUGUUGGUGAAGAAAUAAGGUAACAAUUAUGGAAAAAUUUUAGGAAAAACUUUUAAAACAACAAAUUAAGAACUAAUUCUGGAAUGCAGAUGAAUUAUUACAGAUGAAGAUUAAAUUUCCCACUCUGCAAUAUGAAACUAUAUUGGUAACCAACAACUUUUACCUCUGAAGACCAUAUGAUCUUUUAGAAUAUCAAAAAAGAAAUGCAGAUAUUUUUGUAAAAAUAAAAUGGCAACUAUCCUUUUUAUAAAAGUUGUAGUGGGUUUUUGAUAAUUCCAUAUUCAAUUGUAGGUAAUUUUUCAAAAGCAAAAACGUUCAUAUUGUUUUGUAAUAUUAUCACAAAGUAUUCAUUAGGCACUUGGCAAUCUUACAUUUGAUCAAACAAAAAUUACUUUUGAUUAGGUAAAAAGUAUAGCAUAUGCAUUCAAGGAUACAAUGCUAACUAUUCUAAGUACCACACUGCAUUCUAUGAAACCCUUGUCUGUCUAGACUGACAUCACCCAAUUAAUCAGUCAAAAAAUACUAUUUUCCUAGUAAUUUAACUGAAAAUGAAGGUUGAUAGGUAGGAAUGGGGAACUUCUUUUACCAUACUCUUUCAGAGGAGGAAAUAUAUUGAACAAACAUGGAAAUCUGGACAGGGAGGAGACAGCCAAACACAAAUGCAGCCCCCAAAUAAACUUGCCAGGCAGAUAACACAUCAGGACUUAGGCUGCUCCUCUCUCAGGCUUUAGCCUCCCUAGGAUGCAGAAUUGACCUCCCUUCAAUCAGAUACCACAGGAGCACCUCAAAUACUCACGUGGGAGGGCGCUAAGUGGUUAGAGAUAAGUAGGGCUUGAUCUCUUUUUCCAGUGGGGGUAUACUUUUAAAUGUAUGCAAGAGUAGAUGUAGACAUUUGUGUACCUCAAAUUUAUAGUUGAAA